rnacentral:lncRNA from 1 species
AGCAGGCAGGCCCCUCUGGAACCUGAGAUUAUUUGUUCUCUCACUGUUCUAAAGGUUCUGCUCAUCUCAUUCUGACGUCUUCAAAUCAAGUCUCCUUUGCAGGAAUGUCAAUCAUGUGAAAAUGAGGAAUGCGAUGAAUAGUAUCUUACUGCACUCAAUUCCCACCAGUCACCUGUGAUGUGGCUGCUAUUAUUCUCCACUUACAGAGGAGGAAGCAGAGCUUUGGUGGCCCAUCCAACAGUGCAUGACUCUGACUGAACUGCCUUCACAAAUAAACUCAGAAGUGCACUGAAUAGAAGAUCCAUAGGAGAUCGAGCAGUCAGAGGGUUGGAAACGCUGGCUUUGAACAAAUUCAACUCUUGACCAUCAUUUUCCCUCUGCCUCAGUUUUCUCAUCUGAAAACACAGCCAUAAAAGUGAUGUGGCAAGAGUGGAGAGCUUAUGAUGAAAGGAUGUGCACGUAACAGGCCAUGGAGGGAGCAGGGACCACAGCAGUCAGUCCCGGACCGCUGUUCUCUCUGGAACAGAGAAGAAAGUCCAAGUGGCUUCUUCCCUGGGAUUGGUGGCAUCUUUGGCAUUGCCAGGUGGCAUAGAAGUCUGGAGCACUGUGCUCACCCUGCUGAUGUGCCUGAACUGCCUCCCUGAGCUGUGCCCUUUAGAGCAUGGAGAGACAGCAUAGCACAGAGGCCAAACACACAGGACCUGGAGCCAGGUCGCCUGGGUCCACAUCCUGGGUUUGUCCUGAGCAAGUCAUUUGACCUCUCUGUGACUCAGUUUCUUCAUCUGCAAAGCAGAGAUAAUAGCAGUAUCUACUUCAAGGCAUUGUGGAGAUAAGCAAAUGAAUAAUACACAUAAGGUAUUUAGGACAGUGCCUGGCACAUGGUUAGUGUGUGAAGACGUUGGCUGUUAU